rnacentral:lncRNA from 1 species
AGAAGAGGGAGAAAUAAAUCGAGAGGCAAGCAGAGAGCGCGUCCUGGCCGAAGCUCAUUGUAUUCUGCGUCUCGGACGGCGAGACGAGAAAGGGCAAAAAAAGAAAGAAAAAAGAAAAGAAAACCUCUCCAUCUCGACCCCUCCCUCCCCAACCGAAAUCGCGUCUCUCUCAGCUUUCUCUUUGUUUCUCUCAUUUUUCUCCCUUCCCUCCCCCAAGAAAUCACCUCAUUCCCCUACCCCCAAAAGAAAUCCCUUUAAAUCUCUAUAAAAACCCGAUUUUUGAUCGAUUCCGAUCGGAACACCGCGGCGGAGGACGAGAUCUGGCGUCUCGAUCGAUCCCAGCCGUGCCGCCAUCGUUUCUUUCGCGUUUUGAUCUGGUUGUUUCUUGAUUAGAGGUGCUGGGUGUGGAGGUCGAGGAGAAGGAGGAGGGGAUCGGGGUCUCUGGAUCCGGGGAUCGGAUCUAGGGUUUGAUCGGGAGGUGGUGGGGAUUCGUCGGAUGAGGACCACAUGUUCCAGUCAUCGCGGAAAACGAUGAAAUGGGCCUCAUUGCUUAAGGACAUCAAAGAGAAGGUUGGCCUCUCCCAGUCCCAAUCCCAGUCCUCCGGGUCGUUUGCUUCUGGGCCUGCCGCCGUUGCCGCUGACGGGACUUAUGAAUUUGGAACGCCGGAAGCGUCGCCGCCACGAUAUGGCUUCCUGGGCUCAUCCCCUUCCAGGUCUGCGCUCUCUCUCCCUCCCUCC